rnacentral:rRNA from 1 species
AGCAGCCGCGGUAAUUCCAGCUCCAAUAGCGUAUAUUAAAGUUGCUGCAGUUAAAAAGCUCGUAGUUGAAUUUCGGGACCAUCAUGUCGGUCGUGCCUCGGUACGUACUGGCAUUGUUGGUUUCUACCUUCUGACGAACCAUGAUGUCAUUUAUUUGGUGUCGUGGGAAAUCAGGACUGUUACUUUGAAAAAAUUAGAGUGUUUAAAGCAGGCUCACGCUUGAAUACAUUAGCAUGGAAUAAUGAAAUAGGACGUUUGAUUCUAUUUUGUUGGUUUCUAGGAUCGACGUAAUGAUUAAUAGGGAUAGUUGGGGGCAUUAGUAUUCAAUUGUCAGAGGUGAAAUUCUUGGAUUUAUUGAAGACUAACUACUGCGAAAGCAUUUGCCAAGGAUGUUUUCAUUAAUCAAGAACGAAAGUUAGGGGAUCGAAGACGAUCAGAUACCGUCGUAGUCUUAACCGUAAACUAUGCCGACUAGGGAUCGGAUGAUGUUAAUUUUUAAUGACUCAUUCGGCGCCUUAAC